rnacentral:lncRNA from 1 species
UUGAGGGUGUGUGGGGUGCGUACGAUCGCACAGGAGAAGAGGCAGAAAGGGGCACAAACCCUAAUUCAAGAUAAACCUUCAAAUUGAAAGGGGAAAAUGGCUCUAAUCGGAUGCAUGGACCUAGAUUCUUAAUCAUCUAGACUUUCUACACAUGAGCUCGACUCUUGACAAGCUAUAUGGGAUCUUAGAGAAGAAUGGGUUAAACGGGUCAAGUACGCAAAGAAGCUCUAAUGGACACAAAGUAAUCACUUGUUCAUAGGAACGAAUAGCAAUUUGGAUAAUUGCGUCGCCAUAAAGUUUCGGCUAAUAAAGCGAGGUAUAAAAACGGGUCUAUGAGUUGACUCGAGCCAGGUACGCGACGAAACGUUUUGUUGUUGUUAAUUGUUAAUACGUAAAUCUUAUAUAUUGAUGAUAUAUGAAAGUUCGAGAUGUAAAAAUGUUUAAUUUGUCUAUAAUAAGGAUUUAUGAUAGACAAAUCAACGGGUUGAGCAAUAAUAGGUGCAAACCGGGUAAAUGGGUGCACAAUUCCAUAAGUGCUAAGCCCGGGGUUACGAGUAAAGAAACAUUAAACACACAAGCCGGUAGUCGAAGCGAGAAUGCGAGUAGAUUAAAGGAUUUGGGGACGGGUUAUCAAAUUGAGUAUUAAGUCCCAUGCAUAGGAAUGUGAUUAAAAUAGGAUUUAUUGCUUAUUAGCGAACUAACCUCGUGUAUGUGUUUAUACAGUUUAAAUCAGUUGAAGUAAUAAGUUACUAAACCAUUGUCUUGAGUAUGAAAUGAGAAUGCAGGUAUUCUUUUAACGUCGUUAUCAGGGUUAAAGAAUUUGGAAUGCACGAAUGUACACGGAAAGCUUAUUCGUGGGGAUUAGUAUGGGAAGAAGGUGGCGUGGACUUAGCAUCAUUACGAAGAAAAGAAGGUUUGAAGAUCAAGUCAAGAGCGAGGGUUGUACGGGAAGGAUCAGUCACAUAAUUUGACCAAAAAAAAAUAUAGGUCUUGAAGUAUUAAUAUAACGGGACGUAGUGAAUUCCUUUUUAAUGAGUGUAUGAAUUUUUGUCUUGGAACCUUCCUGUAAGUAUUAUGUCUAGUAAAGAACGAAAUUUUUGG